CGACUCUCGGCAACGGAUAUCUCGGCUCUCGCCACGAUGAAGAAUGUAGCGAAAUGCGAUACUUAGUGUGAAUUGCAGAAUCCCGUGAAUCAUCAAGUCUUUGAACGCCAGUUGCGCCCGAGGCCUCGGCCAAGGGCACGUCUGCUUGGGCGUCGCA
rnacentral:rRNA from 1 species